rnacentral:rRNA from 1 species
CCUGUUGAGCAGGAAAGCAGGGGAUCGCAAGACCUUGCGCUGAUUGAGCGGCCGAUGUCAGAUUAGCUAGUUGGUGAGGUAAAGGGCUCACCAAGGCGACGAUCUGUAGCGGGUCUGAGAGGAUGAUCCGCCACACUGGAACUGAGACACGGUCCAGACUCCUACGGGAGGCAGCAGUGGGGAAUUUUGGACAAUGGGGCAACCCUGAUCCAGCCAUGCCGCGUGAGUGAAGAAGGCCUUCGGGUUGUAAAGCUCUUUCGGCCGGGAAGAAAUCGCAUGGGUUAAUACCCUGUGCGGAUGACGGUACCGGCAUAAGAAGCACCGGCUAACUACGUG